AGAGCGAACGCUGGCGGCAGGCUUAACACAUGCAAGUCGAGCGGGCGUAGCAAUACGAGAGCGGCAGACGGGAGAGUAACACGUGGGAACGUACCCUUUGGUUCGGAACAACACAGGGAAACUUGUGCUAAUACCGAAUAAGCCCUUACGGGGAAAGAUUUAUCGCCGAAGGAUCGGCCCGCGUCUGAUUAGCUAGUUGGUGGGGUAAUGGCUCACCAAGGCGACGAUCAGUAGCUGGUCUGAGAGGAUGACCAGCCUCAUUGGGACUGAGACACGGCCCAAACUCCUACGGGAGGCAGCAGUGGGGAAUAUUGGACAAUGGGCGCAAGCCUGAUCCAGCCAUGCCGCGUGGAUGAUGAAGGCCUUAGGGUUGUAAAGUCCUUUUAACGGGGAAGAUAAUGACGGUACCCGUAGAAUAAGCCCCGGCUAACUUCGUGCCAGCAGCCGC
rnacentral:rRNA from 1 species